rnacentral:lncRNA from 1 species
GGGGUAUCACAUGUACUGUUCUGACCUCUGCAGGUACCACUGGAUUCUGGGUUGCCUCUUGUUUCUUUUACUGUUCAUGUCUCAGAAUUAUGAAACAAAGACCUAAUUGUGGCCCAGAUGUUUCUUACAACAGAGUCUACCCUACAAGAUCUUUACUUACCAAACAUUUCCCAGAGAUGGAGCAGCACUUGUGAGCCAAAUGGUCACCCCACAAAGUGAAAUUCUGCAGAUAUAGCAAUAGUACACAGUUCUGCCUCUGUUCCUCAUGAAAUAAAAAGGCAGACGGUCCGUUUCCUGUAAUGUCACUUCCGUGAGCUGACUAUGAGGUGUAUACCCAUCUGACCACGCUUUGGGCUUCACUGCUUGUAGAUAAAGCCACAAUAAGCAAUUUCAAAGGUGAACAGGACUGUGAUGGUGUGCCGUGAGGCAGCGCCCAGUGGUGACAAGGAGGACAAGCCUGGACAUCAAUGCCGAGCCAAAAGGCAGCAAGGGAGCCUGGGAUCUGAGGAAGGACGUGCUGAGGGGAAG